CGAGUAUAUUUUGGAAAGGUUCGAGCCGUUUGGUUUGCUGUUUGUAAAUAUGGAGUAAGGAAUACAGUGGACAAGAAACCUCAGUGGUAUUUUAAUACCCAUGCAUGCAUUACUGAAGGAACAUUUGAUAACUGACUACUCAGUAAACUUGGACCAUGCAAAUGCUCACAAGCAUAAAAAUAUGGCUAUCAACUGUUCAAAGAUAAAAUGGUUACCCAGGUUGUAGUUAAGGCUAAUGUUUUGAAAGGCACAGAAACAUCUUUCCUGUUUAAUUAAUUAAAAGUGUUGUGCAUGCCUCCAUGAAAAAGGCACACUAUGGAAUCUAUGUUCACCUACUGUAGGUCUAAGACACUGGUUAAAUAUCUUGUGUAAGUUGCACUUGUACAGGUGGUUCCGUUGCUGUAAACAUGUGGCUGCCCUGCUAUUUCAAAUUUUGGACUCAAUAUCCAACUUCAAUUAUUAAACUGAAGUCCCACAUGAUUUAACAUGUACACAGUCUGACAGUCACUGAACUUACUAAUGAGAAACUUGAUACUGCAGUGCUUUUCGACAAAGUAAAAAUAAGCAAGGCAACUUUCAAGACAGAAAAAACAUUGCACAGCAAACUACAACAACCCAGCACGUGCUUUUGCUAAACAUGUAAACAUGUAAAUGUUGAAGACUUAAGAAAACGUUAAGACCGGUUUGACUGUUGGCACUUGUGAUUAUUUGCAGGGCCUUUUAGUAUCCAACAAUUGUGAACCUUUCUAAUAUCAAGAAUUUGUUGAGGAAUUGCCUUCAACAAAGGCAUUCAAUAAAUGCAAACCUACUGUAUUUGCAAAUCAAAUGUACAAUACAAAAUUUGAACAUCUAUACUGGAACAACUUACUGUUCCUAGCAGCAGUGUGCAAACAUUUGCCUUUGCAGCAGUGUGCAAACAUUUGCGUUCUCCAGAAUAUAUAGACCAGAUACUCGAAACACUCUUUUUACACCCAAAGAACAAAUGGUUGACAUUGAAUGCAAUACAAGAGGUCAGUCACAGAGCAAACUUUGGUUUCAUGAACAACGAGGUCGUCCACUGUAACUACCUCACAUUUCAGUACGGAAUGAAACGAAGAGAAAAUGUUUUCCUCACAUCACUUCUUUGCAAAAUCCUUUUGCCAGCAAGCAAUGUAAAGCAUGCCAUUGAAAAACAUUUAGAGCAAAAUAAUUCAGGAUGAACUGAUAAUGACUGCAUGUGUAUUAAAAUGACUGCAUGUGUUCAGUGUGGGUUAUUUGUUAACACAGAAGCUCCAUGACUUGGUGAAACCAGAC